CCUACGGGUGGCAGCAGUGGGGAAUAUUGCACAAUGGGGGGAACCCUGAUGCAGCGACGCCGCGUGGGUGAGGAAGUACUUCGGUAUGUAAAGCCCUAUCAGCAGGGAAGAAAAUGACGGUACCUGACUACGAAGCCCCGGCUAACUCUGUGCCAGCAGCCGCGGUCAUACGGAGGGGGCAAGCGUUAUCCGGAUUUACUGGGUGUAACGGGAGCGUAGACGGCGUGCCAAGUCUGAUGUGAAAGGCCGGGGCUCAACCCCGGGACUGCAUUGGAGGCUGGCAUGCUGGAGGGCCGGAGGGGCAAGCGGAAUUCCUAGGGUAGCGGUGAAAUGCGUAGAUAUUAGGAGGAACACCGGUGGCGAAGGCGGCUUGCUGGACGGUAACUGACGUUGAGGCUCGAAAGCGUGGGGAGCAAACAGGAUUAGAUACCCCAGUAGUC
rnacentral:rRNA from 1 species